GUGAAUGCUAUCAGAAUGAAUCUUCCCUGGAUGAGCCUAGGGUGCCGGAUUUUGGUGCUGUUCCAUAUCUCACCCAUACAAAGCAAGCUGAAUUAGAAAGAAAGAAAGGGGAAAAAAUGCCAAACAAACCCUGAGGACAAAGACGAGGGAAAUGCUCGGCAAAUAAUGAACACAUUAAGGAAAGAGAAAAGAAUCACUAAUCAACAG